AUUGAACGCUGGCGGCAGGCCUAACACAUGCAAGUCGAGCGGAGCGGCGGACGGGUGAGUAAUAACUAGGAAUCUGCCUGGUCGUGGGGGAUAACGUUCGGUAACGGACGCUAAUACCGCAUACUAUCAGAUGAGCCUAGGUCGGAUUAGCUAGUUGGUGAGGUAAUGGCUUACCAAGGCUACGAUCCGUAACUGGUCUGAGAGGAUGAUCAGUCACACUGGAACUGAGACACGGUCCAGACUCCUACGGGAGGCAGCAGUGGGGAAUAUUGGACAAUGGGCGAAAGCCUGACGCAGCCAUGCCGCGUGAGUGAAGAAGGUCUUCGGAUUGUAAAGCACUGUAAGUUGGGAGGCGGUACCGAAAGAAUAAGCACCGGCUAACUCCGUGCCAGCAGCCGCGGUAAUAC
rnacentral:rRNA from 1 species